rnacentral:piRNA from 1 species
UGAUCUAGGAGGGUCUUUUAACUCCUGCC